rnacentral:rRNA from 1 species
GACGAACGCUGGCGGCGUGCUUAACACAUGCAAGUCGAACGGACAGGCCCUGCUUUUGCGGGGUGCUCGAUUGGCGAACGGGUGUGUAACACGCGUGUAACCCGUCCCUGUAUUUGGGAUAACUUCAGGAAACUGGGGCUAAUACCGGAUAGGAGCUCCUGCUGCACGGUGGGGGUUGGUAAGUUUCGGCGGUUGGGGCUGGACUCGCGGCUUAUCAGCUUCUUGGUCGGGUAGUGGCUUACCAAGGCUUUGACGGGUAGCCGGCCUGAGAGGGUGACCGGCCACAAUGGGACUGAGGUACGGCCCAGACUCCUACGGGAGGCAGCAGUGGGGAAUAUUGCACAAUGGGCGGAAGCCUGAUGCAGCAACGCCGCGUGCGGGAUGACGGCCUUCGGGUUGUAAACCGCUUUCGCCUGUGACGAAGCGUGAGUGACGGUAAUGGGUAAAGAAGCACCGGCUAACUACGUG